UCAAUAUAACUGAAUUUUGGUAGACUGCAGAUGUUAGAACUGAACUUUUCCCAUCUUCACUUGCUGGAAAAGAAUUUACAGUUCGUGAAAGCAAAGCUAGAUAGCUAGUAUGCAAAAGCUUGAGACAAGUCUGCACAAACUGCACACAUCUGAUAUUCGUUUUCAGGGAAAUAAUAAGACUGGCAAGCUUCCUAACAAGUUAGUUCGUAAUCAAGUUAUGCAUCCCAAUGUUAGUACUCCUAUUCAUAACACAGAGCACACAAGUCUUAUGCUAAAAAAUAUGAUAUUUAUCUGAUUUUGCUGCAGAAGAUAAAAGUAUCGGAUGUCAAGUGUUAGCGGUGAUUCCAACUGACUUGCAUAUAAGUGGGUAAGCUGAAACAUCAAACAGAAAGAAUUGCAAUUUCUUCAUCUAGUUCAGCUAUAGCGGGGCUUCAGAAAAAAGAACAGGGCUAUUCACAUCAUGGGGCAGCAUCUUGUAGCCGUUUGUUGGCUAAAGUCAGGUUAGUGAGAGACCACUUCUGUGAUGAAAGCAUACCGUGGGUAAAACGCAUGUCGAUAUGAGUAAUCAAGGGCAUUCAUUGCAGCCAGAAGCACCCAGAUUCAGGUCUUUUUUCUCUCAAAGGUCACAGAGGUACUAACUGGCAUCAUCUUUGAUGGACGAAGUGUAAGGUGUGAGUUGAUGGAGGUGAUGGCCAUCUUUUAUUGUUGGUGGUAACUGUGGAAGGCAAUCAUGAUUUACAUUAAGAUUGCACUGCGCAAAAACGUGAAAGUCGAAUGUGCAAAAUUUACCAGACACUGCAUCAGUAGUGCAGGUCAAUAGAUCUAAUACAAGAAUGAGUAUAUGAUCGUGGAGGUGAUGUUUCAACGUGUGCCUUUCAAAAGUGCAUGGAAUUUUGAUGUCAAAGUUGCAUUCUGCGCAGCAAAAGACAGCGUCAAUGCUCUUCACAAUGCGUCAGUGAGCGUUCCUUCCUGAUACGGGAAGAAGUGGAUGUGCAGGGUGAACAGGGUGUCGCAUAACUGAGGGCAUUUCAGCACAUGAUUUAUGGAGCAGGAAAGAGCAGCACUGCUCCAGCGGCAGCGGAUGAUUGUGAAUUGGAAAAAGAAGAGGCAAUCCAGACAAACAUAGACCUCACCUAGUAUGCUUUACACUCUGAUUCUGGUUUCAAGCUUCACGUGGAGGGCACCAAGUAGAUGCUGAUGGGCGAAAUGGCAAAAAAACUGGGCCUUUCUUGCCCUCCAGGACUUGUGAACGUAGACUUAUAGCCGCACAAUCCAUGUCAAGGCUGAAAUUGCAUUCGCUGCAGCGGGAAACUAUAUGGCAGGCAUAACGUUGGAGUUCUGCCAAUUGAUCGAAAGGAAGAGAGCUGGUGAUCCCGGCGUUGCAUCUCUAGGGGGAGAUUCAAUAAUUAUAAAGCUGAGUUGAAAACAAAAUAAAGAGGUGCUCUUCUUAGUAAUUACAAGUAAGCCUGUCUAAAUGAUGGAAUGAACUAUAUUUGGAUGAAAUAAAA